UAAUGUAUGGGGAUCUGCCCGAUGAGGGGGAGUAACUACUGGAAACGGUGGCUAAUACCGCAUAAUGUCUACGGACCAAAGCAGGGGCUCUUCGGACCUUGCACUAUCGGAUGAACCCAUAUGGGAUUAGCUAGUAGGUGGGGUAAAGGCUCACCUAGGCGACGAUCUCUAGCUGUCUGAGAGGAUGAUCAGCCACACUGGGACUGAGACACGGCCCAG
rnacentral:rRNA from 1 species